rnacentral:rRNA from 1 species
GUUGACCUCGGAUCAGGUAGGAAUACCCGCUGAACUUAAGCAUAUCAAUUAGCGGAGG